UCGAUGGUGGCCAAUCAAACUGGACAGACAGUGGAUUUAGGGCCGAUGCCUCCCUUUCCGGGGCCGGCGCCAAACAUGCCAUCGAAGGAAAAUUUCGCUGCGGAGUACUAUGGGAGAACAACGGGAACGGGAUGUUCCGGAAACCAGGGUGGUGGGAGGGAGAUCACACCGGUUCAUCAUGGUGGUCCUUCUCCCGGUGCUACACCCGGUACUUCUCCCGGUACUUCUCCCGGUCCUUCUCCCGGUGGUUCUUCCGCAGCUUCUACCGGAAGGAAUCGGCCCGGGCCGGUGUCUAGCGGCGACGAGCUCCUCUAGUUGUCGCAUUGUAUCUCUUAUCGACACUAUGGCACCAUGCAUGUAUGCACACUAUGGCACUAUGUAUGCAUCCCAUGUCACUAUGACACUAUGUAUGCAACCUAUGGUACUAUGACACUAUGUAUGCACUUGAUGUUAUAUGUAUUUGCACUUCAUGCC